rnacentral:rRNA from 1 species
CGGUGACCUCGAGAGCUUGCUCUCGGGCGAUCAGUGGCGAACGGGUGAGUAACACGUGAGUAACCUGCCCCAGACUCUGGAAUAACCCCGGGAAACCGGAGCUAAUACCGGAUACGAGACGGAGCCGCAUGGCUACCUUCUGGAAAGUUUUUCGGUCUGGGAUGGACUCGCGGCCUAUCAGCUUGUUGGUGAGGUAACGGCUCACCAAGGCGACGACGGGUAGCCGGCCUGAGAGGGCGACCGGCCACACUGGGACUGAGACACGGCCCAGACUCCUACGGGAGGCAGCAGUGGGGAAUAUUGCACAAUGGGCGAAAGCCUGAUGCAGCGACGCCGCGUGAGGGAUGACGGCCUUCGGGUUGUAAACCUCUUUCAGCAGGGAAGAAGCGAAAGUGACGGUACCUGCAGAAGAAGCACCGGCUAACUACGUGCCAGCAGCCGCGGUAAUACGUAGGGUGCGAGCGUUGUCCGGAAUUAUUGGGCGUAAAGAGCUUGUAGGCGGUCUGUCGCGUCUGCCGUGAAAUUUCGGGGCUCAACCCCGAACUUGCGGUGGGUACGGGCAGACUAGAGUGUGGUAGGGGAGACUGGAAUUCCUGGUGUAGCGGUGAAAUGCGCAGAUAUCAGGAGGAACACCGAUGGCGAAGGCAGGUCUCUGGGCCACUACUGACGCUGAGAAGCGAAAGCAUGGGGAGCGAACAGGAUUAGAUACCCUGGUAGUCCAUGCCGUAAACGUUGGGAACUAGGUGUGGGUCUCAUUCCACGAGAUCCGUGCCGCAGCUAACGCAUUAAGUUCCCCGCCUGGGGAGUAC